UCUAUCUUGUCAUCCGCCAACUUCUAAGUAAUGCCUAUCAAACAAGUUACGUGAUGGUGUAUGAAGCAUUCAGUAAAGCUAUGUUGCAAUACGUUGAUGGGAACAAUAUAGGUGUACUAUGUAUAUCCUGGCAUAACUAUUUCAGUGUUUUGGGAAAACCGAUCCAUAAACAGCAAGUGUUUAACAGUCUUCAAUCUCCCGACAGUCAUUUCGGACCGGUACAUGUUGAAUAACUGAGUGUUAAUUCCAUGUAUGAUGAUCAUGUACAUGUCUCUCAGACAGAUCUGUACCGGGCCAUGAACGUUGUAGACAACUGCCUCCUAAUUGUGUUAUAAGAACACAGUUAAUGGUACCGAAUGUUUGGCUGCUGCCAGGUUCCGUAGCAAGUAUAAAAUCUCACAUGUCAUGCCGAUUUUAUAAUGCUAGCCCACUAACAUACCAUGCAGUUUAACAUGAAUAUUUUACUCAGACACAUUAUACUGACUCUGAGCCAAACAGUCCUUCUUUUAGCCCCUUAAUGCCGAGCGGCAAUGACAGGGUAACAACAAGUACUUUCUUUUAACGUCGUUUGCGCACGCCGGUCGGACGCUCUACCACUAGACCACGCAGGCGGUACUGCGAUCUGAAGACGAGCGUUCAUGACCACUGAGGUGUGCGAAAACAAUUAUUACUCGGGGAUGAAAUGUUUUGAGACAAAUCAAUUAAACUGAUUGCCUUGAAGAAGUAUUGACUGAAAAACAUAAUUCUGUCUCAAAAACAACAAACAAGCAACUUAUCCCCGAAUAUUUAAUGGUCCGUAAAACAUGUUCCCGUUUUGUUGUUGUUUAGAUCACAGUGUAUCAAAGGAAGAUGUACAAAGUGAAAAAAGACUAUUCACGGUGUUGACCUCGCUGUUGUACCACGUUCCCUCUAAGGAAUCGCAGCUUAUUGUUGGAGGGAAGUCACGGCACAGUUAGUAGAUGUGUACCAGUGUUGUUUUCAUAAACAGAAACAUUAACAAUUAAAGGUACUUGCUCGUGGUUGUCUAGUGGUGUAAACACAGAAUAGCACUGAAGAUAUACUAUACUGAUAAUGGUAGAAGAUGUUCAGCAUUUUAAAGUGGAGAACUACAAAGUGACUACAAACAAUGUAACAACAUGCCUGUAAUUGAGUUCCUUACGUCAUUGUUAUAGCUAUGCGUCGUCCCAACUUACUACACAGGAAGGUAUAUUGAUUAUUGUGUUAAUCAAUAUAAGUAAACACACAACUUAAAUAACUGAGCCACUGACAUCUCUCAUAUGCUGGUUGGCAGGCAGGAUUAACUGAAGUAUUCCACAAAGAGCAAUAAUUGAUUUGCUCAGUUUCUUCUUGGCAUCAACUGUCACCGACGGUUCUGACUGAUAUUGACGGGAACAAUCGCAGUUGACUCUGACACCUCUUCCUAUUGCUCUAAUACCUCUUCCUAUUGCUCUGAUACCUCUUCCUAUUGCUCUAUUACCUCUUCAUAUUGCUCUAAUACCUCUUCCUAUUGCUCUAAUACCUCUUCCUGUUGCUCUAAUACCUCUUCUAUUGCCCUUAUACCCCCUCCCAAUGCUCUAAUACCUCUUCCUAUUGUUCAAAUACCUCUUCCUAUUGCUCUGAUACCUCUUCCUGUUGCUCUAAUACCUCUUCCUAUUGCUCUAAUACCUCUUCCUAUUGUUCAAAUACCUCUUCCUAUUGCUCUGAUACCUCUUCCUGUUGCUCUAAUACCUCUUCCUACUGCUCUAAUACCUCUUACUAUUGCACAUUGAAUAGGGCGUUGAACAUGUUACUGAUGAUUCCGUGCAUGCUGGUGAUGGUCGCUCAAGGACAUGGACAGAAUGUCAUCUCUGGACAACUCGUGUCUGGUGUUUUCAAAGAGACUCGCGUCCCCAGCUUCACAUUGUGUCAGUCUCUGUGUUGGUACUCCACUCCGUGCAGGUCCUCCACGUUUGCUACAGGGACAGGCUUGUGUCAGCUCAGCAGAGACACCAGGAACACCUCACCUGGCUCCUUCUCUGUCAGCCAGCAUCAUGUAUACUCGGACGCCCUGGCUCCACUUGGACUGAUAAAGCUGUAUGACUCUACUACAAAUCAGUUGAAAAACUUCUUUAUUAUGACGAGACACGUUUCGGAGUACACGCUUACUCCUUCAUCAGAAUUUUGACCACCCCUGCGCGAGUCGACCAUGUCCUGUAGAUGAGGUGUGUGUGCCAACUGAGGCAGCGACGAGCUUCUUGUGUCUGUACGGAGCACUAUCUACUGAUAUACCAUCUGCUUCAACAACACCUGACGCAGUACCUACGACGGUAACAACAGAUGCACCACCAACCAUUGCAACAACUACUGCAGCAACUUCGACUGUAACAACUACUGCAGCACCUACCACUGUGACAACUACUGCAGCACCUACCACUGUAACAACUACUGCAGCACCUACCACUUUAACGACUACUGCAGCAACCACCACUGUUACGACUACUGCAGCACAAACGACGGCAACAACUACUGCAACUACCACUGUGUCAACUACUGCAGCAACUACCACUGUAACAACUACUGCAGCAACUACCACUGUAACGACUACUGCAGCACCCACCACUGUAACGACUACUGCAGCACCUACCACUGUAACAACUACUGCAACUACCACUGUAACAACUACUGCAGCACCCACCACUGUAACGACUACUGCAGCACCUACCACUGUAACAACUACUGCAACUACUACUGUAACAACUACUGCAGCACCCACCACUGUAACGACUACUGCAGCACCUACCACUGUAAUGACUGCCUCGACUACUACUGAAACAAAUUCAUGUGUGUCGGAGUGUGUUGAUCUCAUCGGAAGCUUUCACUCCUGCUCAGGAGGCUGCGAUGAAUAUGUGGUGUGUUCAGUUAACGGUAUGUUUCCAAAAACCUGCCCGCCAGGUACAGUGUGGGAUGAUAAUAGCAAGUUAUGUAAUUUUCCACCAUCCCCAACAUGCAGUUAGAUGCUCUAAUUCUAGUUAUGCUGCAGUAUUAAACUCACAGCUAUAUCACAGCACCAAGGCAAACACCGUGUCUUCAUCCAAAAAUAACCUACCUACAAGGAUGUAAAAUCAAAGUACACUAGAUAGUGGCAGGCUUUGCAAGCGCGAGAAUACAUCAGUAUCAACUCAAAAUUGGAAAUUGUGCUUGUGCCAAGAGAAUAACUUCCUGUAUUUUUGGAAACAAUUUUAGCCACCAACAUUCUCCGUGCUUGAAGGACUCAAUUCAUCUGAUAGAUACAGAUUCAAAUACACCCACAUAUAAUUGGCAUUUACAGGUGUAACUGAAUAAAAGGAAAUGUGACUGGAGAUUUGAUGAGCCAAAGCGGUGUGUUCCCGAGACGGGGUUGACUGUCAGUUAUGAAACGCCACAUUCUGCAAUGUUCUAGUUAUAUAAUCCAAUCUUUUUUAAAACCUUGUCCAGCUAACCCUUGUGGUGAGCAAUGAUGCAACCAUGUCGUGGCACGUUGACACACAAUCAACCAAAUCAACCAGUUUGACCACUCAACCAAUUUAAUCGCCUCUUGUAACCAGUAAAGGUUGCUGGGGACAAGUUAGAAGCUGGAAUCUCUAAAGUGAUGGUGUCACUUAAUCACUAACUAGGGCCAUGGGGUAGCCUGGUUGGUAAAGGGUUCAGUCGUUGCGUUCAAGACCCGGGUUCGACUCCCUAAAUGUGAAGCCAAUUUCCAGCGUCUCACCAUAAGCCAUAUGAAUAUGAGAAUGUACCUCUCUGUAAAGUAAUGUACUGUGACUUUCAUCAAUAUGUCUGAGCUUUUUAGAUUAAUAAAA